UGACCUCAGAUCAGGUAGGGAUACCCGCUGAACUUAAGCAUAUCAAUAAG
rnacentral:rRNA from 1 species